AACCCUGGGUCGUUCAAAUCCUGUAUAAUCGAAAACGCUAUUACAGUUGCACUCAUUGCACUUAGCAUACAAUGUAUAUAUUUAGGUUUGUUCGCGUUAGUAUUGUUACGUAUACUAUAGAUUGGAGCGUAUUGGAGCAUGUUGGGGCAUACGAUGCGAACAAACCUUUCGUUUCUUUAGAGAAAAACAGAAAAAAGAGAAGCUAUUUAAUUGGAAAGCGAUUGCGAAUUAGAUG